AUUGAACGCUGGCGGAAUGCUUUACACAUGCAAGUCGAACGGCAGCACGGACUUCGGUCUGAUGGCGAGUGGCGAACGGGUGAGUAAUGUAUCGGAACGUGCCCAGUCGUGGGGGAUAACGUAGUGAAAAUUACGCUAAUACCGCACACGAUCUAUGGAUGAAAGCGGGGGAUCCCAAGAUCUCGCGCGAUUGGAGCGGCGGAUAUGAGAUUAGGUAGUUGGUGGGGUAAAGGCCCACCAAGCCAACGAUCUGUAGCUGGUCUGAGAGGACGACCAGACACACGGGAACUGAGACACGGUCCAGACUCCUACGGGAGGCAGCAGUGGGGAAUUUUGGACAAUGGGCGAAAGCCUGAUCCAGCCAUUCCGCGUGCAGGAUGAAGGCCCUCGGGUUGUAAACUGCUUUUGUACAGAACGAAAAGGUUUCUACUAAUACUAGGAGCUCAUGACGGUACUGUAAGAAUAAGCACCGGCUAACUACGUGCCAGCAGCCGCAGUAA
rnacentral:rRNA from 1 species